UGGGUCUGAAGAGAACUGAAUGGAGGUGAGAGUGUUAUAAACAAAUGUGUUCUGUAAAGAUAACUGGCUACCCUGGAGAUAACUGAUUAUGAGGGAGAACAGCGACUGUGGGGAGACCUUCAGGAGGCUUUCACAAGGGUCCAGCCUGCACCUAUGGCCUAACGGGGAGUUCCCUACAAUCAGUUGGCAGAGGAAGAGAAGACUCAGGCCUGACCUACAGAUGGCUUUCAUGAUAUGCAAGCACCACCUGCACAAUGCUGGACAACUGCAGCAAGCACUAUAGACCCUUUCUGGGACGUCCCUGAAGGACAGGAGCAAAAGAAUGAUUCUACAUAUUGGCUUUUACACUGAGGCGAUCUUGAAGACUAACAAUUUGGUCAGCAAAUAAUUUCCUGUAUGUGGAGAUGUUUCUUUAUUCACUUACCUCCUCAGGUUUGUAGCUUUCUGCCUAGUAGGGAAACAGGCUACUUAGCUAAUUUCCUUGAGUGAGAAAGCUGCAUUGUAGCUCCAAAGGUAAAGCAGCCAGGAUGGCUCCAUUCUCCCAUCUCAUGUUUACCUCUUCUACACUGCAAAAGCCUAUUAUCUCAGCCUGCUGCUUCCAGAUCAAGAACCCAGCCAAUCAUAGAUUCAACCAUAUGCUAUGAGGUGUAUGUAAAUAUCUCUGUGAUUUUGAUUUUACCACACCAUGGAAAUGUACGUGCUGUUUUAGAUCUCAGUGUGUUUUAUAAUUUCACUUUUUUAUACCCUUCUUCAUCAUCAUUAAUAAACUUAAGUUAAAAUUUAAAUCAAGAUGGCUGAUAAGAUCAGUCAGAAGCUGAAAGUAAGGGAUGAUUUUGCUGGUAAAAGGGCAACAGAAUAAAACAAAUUAUAUGAAUUUCAAAAUAUUAAACACAAAUGUAUAAUUCAACAUUCAAGGUUCAUACUUCAAAUAUUAGCUUCUUUUCUUCAUUUUAGUACCUAAUUUACAUAAACUUUGUCUUGUUAAAAGUGAAUACACAUUUAGAAAAAAGCCUUGUUUAUUUCUAUGCUUUGUUUGUGAUCACUAUGAGGAUUUAUGAUUUGAAGAUACUUAUACCACCUUGGGUGGUCAAAUUAAAAGUUA